rnacentral:rRNA from 1 species
UACGUAGGGGGCGAGCGUUGUCCGGAUUUAUUGGGCGUAAAGAGCUCGUAGGCGGUUUGGUAAGUCGGGUGUGAAAUCUCCACGCUCAACGUGGAGGGGCCACUCGAUACUGCCAUGACUCGAGUCCGGUAGAGGAGUGUGGAAUUCCCGGUGUAGCGGUAAAAUGCGCAGAUAUCGGGAGGAACACCCGUAGCGAAGGCGGCACUCUGGGCCGGAACUGACGCUGAGGAGCGAAAGCGUGGGGAGCAAACAGG